rnacentral:rRNA from 1 species
GACGAACGCUGGCGGCGUGCUUAACACAUGCAAGUCGAACGGGAAGGCCCUGCUUUUUUGGGGACCUCGAGUUGCGAACUGGUGAGUAACACUUGAGUAACCUGUCCUUCACUUUGGGAUAUCUUCAUGAAACUUGGGCUAAUACGGCAUAGGAUUUCCCGCUGCUGGGUGGGGGUUGGAUAGUUUCGGUGGUUGGGGAUGGACUCGCCGCCUAUCAGCUUGUUGGUGUGGUAGUGGGUGACCAAGGCUUUGCCGGCUAGCAGUCAUGGGAGGAUCAGCGGAGAAAUUGGGACUGAGAUACGGCACAGCCUCGUACGGUACGCAGCAGUGGGGAAUAUUGUACAGUGGGCGGAAGCCUGAUGCAGUAAAGCAGCGUGCGGGAUGACGGCCUUCGGGUUGUAAACCGCUUUCGCCUGUGACGAAGCGUGAGUGACGGUAAUGGGUAAAGAAGCACCGGCUAACUACGUG